rnacentral:sRNA from 1 species
CAUGCCCCUUAUACGCUGGGCUACACACGUGCUACAAUGGGUAGUACAGAGAGUCGCAAAGCCGUGAGGUGGAGCUAAUCUCAGAAAACUAUUCUUAGUUCGGAUUGUACUCUGCAACUCGAGUACAUGAAGUUGGAAUCGCUAGUAAUCGCGAAUCAGCAAUGUCGCGGUGAAUACGUUCUCGGGUCUUGUACACACCGCCCGUCACACCACGAGAGUUGGUUGCACCUGAAGUAGCAGGCCUAACCGUAAGGAGGGAUGCUCCGAGGGUGUGAUUAGCGAUUGGGGUGAAGUCGUAACAAGGUAUCCGUACGGGAACGUGCGGAUGGAUCACCUCCUUUCUAAGGAGAAUAUGUCUUUCUCUAUUCUAUUGGUAAUGUUCUUACAUUACUUCUGAACAUUGGAAACUAUAUAGUAGAACAAACAAAAAAAAAAUUAACUCUAACAAUUUCUUAGAGUUAGCUGUCAAAAAAUAGAUUAAAAUAAUUAAGGGCACACAAAGGAUGCCUAGGUAGUAAGAGCCGAUGAAGGACGUGGUAAGCCGCGAUAAGCCUAG